GAUUACCCGCUGAACUUAAGCAUAUCAGUAAGCGGAGGAAAAGAAACUAAACAGGAUUCCCUCAGUAACGGCGAGUGAACUGGGAAAUGUCCAUCGCUWAAUCAUUUUGCMUCARRCAUYAUGAGGUGUAGCGUAUAAGCCGUGAUCUUUGAUCAGUURUCUCAAACAAGUCCYCUUGACAGRGGUUCCAAAGAAGGUGCAAGUCCUGUACAUUGRGAUWACUGRUUGAUAUUUGCGURCUUUWGAGUCGGGGUGUUUGUGAAUGCAGCA
rnacentral:rRNA from 1 species